rnacentral:rRNA from 1 species
AUGAUCUCUCUUGGGCUGGAGCCUGAAAACUUCUUGCCAAUCAUGGAUGCAACUGCUGCUUAUUUCCUCCUCCUUCGUCGCUGCAUCUGGCAGAUAACCGUUAUCUUCCCGUCUCAUAUUCGAUCUCCGCCCUUUCCUCGGCGACCAGCCGUUGACGCGCAUUCUCCCCAUUGUCCAGAUGUGGCCUCUCUAUCUCUCUCUCUCAGCAAAUCUGGCCCAUCAUCGACCAACAAGAUAAACAUUCCAGGCACAUUAUUACAUUCCUUUACUAUACAUCAUCAUUGUAUAUUGCUUGUGUUCUUCACUUUGCCCAUCGUGUAA